rnacentral:misc_RNA from 1 species
UCGAGACCCGAACGAACGGACGAUCGCGAACGCGUUACAUACUUGCAUACCAAAACAACUCCGGUUCGUCCCGUCGCGCCUCGCGGCGCGGCGUGGCGAGACGGAGGAAACGAAACCCCGGCGCGAUGGGCGCCAAGGAACACUUUUUAGAAGCGCCGUCGCGGCCUCCUCCCGCUCCUCCUCCCCCCCAUCUAUCGUAGGUAGGUAGGGAGGGAGGAAGGAGGGAGGUGGAACGCGGGCGUGGACAUAGAUAUCGUAUUUUGUACGACUCUCGGCAACGGAUAUCUAGGCUCUCGCAUCGAUGAAGAACGUAGCGAAAUGCGAUACUUGGUGUGAAUUGCAGAAUCCCGUGAACCAUCGAGUCUUUGAACGCAAGUUGCGCCCGAGGCCAUCCGGCCGAGGGCACGCCUGCCUGGGCGUCACGCCUCCCGUCGCUCCCCACAGCCGUGAGGAUGCGGAGAUUGGCCCACCGUGCCUCGUGCGCGGCGGGUCGAAGUGCGGGCCGUCGUCGGGCCGGGCGCGGCGAAUGGUGGACAAAUACUUCGUUGUUUGUGCCUACUCUCCGUGCCCCGGCCCUCAACAAUGCGACGUGCCGUCGUCGGACCCCUCACCAAGGAAGGACUAUUUCUUGCUUGCUUUUUGCUUGCUUGCUUGCUCGCUCGCGACAAGGAAGGAAGCAAGGAAGGAAGUGAGAAGGAGCCGUCCUCGGAACG